rnacentral:ncRNA from 1 species
AGAGUAGGUAAGUCGCGUUAAGUGCUUAAGGAUGGGAGGUCGCCUUAAGACGAAAGAAGAAAUUCUGCGGUGACUUAUCGCAGCCGCU